rnacentral:rRNA from 1 species
GCUUCCUCCCUUCUCAUGUUCACGCGAGGGACAGCCGCCGCCGCCCCUUCCCCUUCCAAACUUGCGCUCGCCGGCCAUCCUCCCCGUCCGCCGCCGCCGCCGCCACCGACCAGCCGCACCCGCGCUACCAUCCCCUCCCCGUUCCUCUCCGAGAAGCAGCCCAAGGGCAGCCGCCUGCCGCUCGGCACAAACGCGGAUGCGGUGGCCGAAGGGGGAAGCGGCGCUGCUUUGGCGCCGCUAAGCGCCACCACCCCCCGUCCCUUCGUCCCCCGCCGCCCCUCUGCCUCCUCCCUUCCCGCCACACACCCUCCCUUCCCCUGCGCCGUUGCGCUGCUGCUCCACUGGGUACGAGUUCCAUGGCUGUCCGGGAUCCAUGGCCUCCGACUUGGCGUCGUAGCCGUCAGCCUCGGCGUUGAGACAGUGCCAAGGAAUUUCACACGGGGAAGUGGCUCACCGAUGCGCGUCUCGUGGCCCCGCUGGAUCCGGUGCUCAACACCUCCAUCUCGUGCGUCACGAAGUCGCCGCCGGGGACGCUGCGCUGGUCGGUCGGAGGCCGAGCUAGCCUCGUCCUCUAAGUUACCCUCCGGCAUCAUCAAGCCAAGGGAUGCGGGAGGCAGCAGUCCAUUCCUGCGGUCGACCUCAUUCUUGAUUGGAUUAGUAAACAAAGAGGGAGGAGGGGUCGGGGGAUGGAGGGAUGGAGAAGCUCUCAUCGGCAGCGACUUUCGUGGAGGGCGGUGUGUACGCCUGCGACCACACCUGCAGCAUCUGCCUCAAGGCCUUCUGCGACAGUGACUCCUCCACAGUUACAGGCUGCAAGCAUGAUUUGCAUCUCCAGUGCAUCCUUGAGUGGUGCCAGAGAAGCUCCCAGUGUCCCAUGUGUUGGCAGGCAAUCAACACGAAGGGCCCUAUGAGUGCUUUGGAGAAGAUGGACAUGAGGCCCCAACCUACACUGGCAUAGCUAGGCAGGGGAGUAUCCUUCCACUUGACAUUUCCUUCUCAGUUUUGUAUGGUUAAUUUUUAGAGCCGUGGUUACUAUGAAAACCGAGAUGUGGAUAUUGCAGUAUUGAUCUUAGUUCAAUUCAUUCUAUUACGUAGCCUCACUUUGUUAUCCAUGAUUUCCCUCAUUUGAUUGAUUUGACACAUGUUCAUUCACUAGAUUAUAGUCUACUUCAUUUUUUGUGUCUUUAGUUCUAGGUUGUUUUGAUUUAAGUGGUACUUGAUUUCUUGGCAUUGUUCAUUGUCUCGAGCCAUGUCUGAAACUGAAGGAAAGAAGGCCCUGACCACUCUCAUCAUUUACUCAAGUAAUAACACCAUCGGCGACAGGAACGACAAGCUGACGCAGAUCGUUUCUUGGUGGCUGCUAAUGAAUCAUGUAAUGAUUGCGCAGAACUCACCAGAGGAAAAAGACCGAACUGCGGAGUUUCCCCAUUGUUAGAGCUCUUGGUGCCCGGACAAGACCUCUAUCUCGAUUCUCCCUUUGCAGCUCGGCUCCACCGACCAGAUGGUGAUGGCUGACGAAGAGCUCGAUGUCCAUGGCUCGUCAGGUUCCGCUGGCUCCACUAACAGCCGUCUACGGGCGCUUGCACAGGAUACCAAGCGAGUGUUUAGGAUCCCACACAGGGCAUUUCUUGACAUGCUCCUAGCACACCUUGGGCUAAUCACCGGCUCAGUAUGAUCGUGUUGUACAUGAGGACGGCAAGAUCUGUGUGACCAUCUUUUUCAACACCUCUACAUUGGAUCUUGGAGGACCAAUCAGUAUGAACGCGUCGUGUCAUCAUUCCUCCUGGUCUACAUUAUGCCCAAGACAUGCAAAGUUGUGGAUCGUCUGUAAGCUACCAUUUGCUUUCGUACGUCCUAUGUCUGUGAUAUUUGCUACUAAACCUAUUGUGCUACGUGCUUUCUAUGUUCGUACAUUGUUAGGUGGCUCCUUAUUGUGUGCAUACAAAUAAACCUUACUUCUGAAUGAUUCUUCAUUAGUUUUUUUAUUUUUAUCAUGGUUGACAGAAUAAUGAGUGAAAAAAUUACUUUGCUUAAAUCUGGUUGCUCGGCUGACAAAGAUAUGCUUUCUAUGCUUGUGAUGCUUUCUAUGCUAUGGAUUUUAUGUAUUGGAUUAGGGCCGGUGCUUACUUAGGCCAUUUUAAUUUUAAUAAGCCUAUUGUUAAAGUUCAAGAUACUACGGUUGAUGGCUGAGUACAAAUGUAUAUAAAUUGUCCUUGGAGUUUCCUUUAUGGUAUAUACUGAGUGGAUUGUAAAUACUGUUACCUUGGCCAUUAUUCUUUGUAUGAUGUAUACAGUGUGAAUGCAUAUGCUAAACCUGGCGUUUGGACCGGCACCCUCGCGCCAAGGCGCGAUCUCGAUCUAGUACUUGUG